AAACCAACAGGGAUUGCCUCAGUAAUGGCGAACGAAGCGGCAACAGCCCAAAUUUGAAAUCUGGCGUAAGCCCGAGUUGUAAUUUGGAGGUAGACUAUUUGGGUGUCUGUGUCAACUAAGUGCCUUGGAAUAGGCCGCCGUAGAGGGUGAGAGCCCCGUGAGUUGACUAGCAGUUAUUCAGUUUGUCUUCCGACGAGUCGAGUUGUUUGGGAUUGCAGCUCUAAGUGGGUGGUAUAUUCCAUCUAAGGCUAAAUAAUAGCGAGAGACCGAUAGCAAACAAGUACAGUGAUGGAAAGAUGAAAAGAACUUUGAAAAGAGAGUGAAAUAGUACGUGAAAUUGUUGAAAGGGAAGGGUAUCUGAUCCGACGUGGUAUUUAGAUGUCGCCUGCCCUUGUGGCGGGUGCUCCAUUUUUUUACUGGGCCAGCGUGAGUUAGAAGGGGAUGAAAAGGCGGGAACGAAUGUAGCCUUCCUCCCUUUGGGAGAGGGGUGUUAUAACAUUCCUGUUUAGUUCCUUUCUGACUGAGGUCCGCGGUUUUUUAUUACCAAGGACGCUGGCAGAACGAGCAGAUACCGC
rnacentral:rRNA from 1 species